UAGGAGACUCAUGCUCAACAGUGAGCUGAAUAUAGGUAGUCAAUGAUGAUAAUGAUGAUGACCUGAAGACAUACGUACGAUGCGGAACUGUGGACCCAAUAUAGACACAAGACGGCACUUUAAAGGAUUUUAGACUUCACUGUGAAGUGUUACGUUGUCUAUUGGCGAUGGAUUACCACUUACCAUCAGGUAGUCCAUCUGCUUGGUCCAACAUAUAGUAAUACAACAAAAAGUAAUAUAACAUAUUAUAUUUGCAAAGGUUCCCACUGCGGGUAACGGAGCGUGACGAGUAGAUUUAAAGCGAGUGCUUCUAGAGGACUCGCGCACUCAGCUAAUGCUGGCUUUUAACAUUUUAUCUUGGCAUUUUACAGACGGACAGUUGUCUUAUAUACAUAUAUAUAUUGUAUACAUAUAUAUUUCUAUAUACAGGAUGCUCCGGAGUAUUUUCCAUAACUUCAUGGUGAAAGAAGAAAGAAAGAAAGAAAGAAAGGAAGAAAAAAAGCUUUAUUAGUGAAUUAUGCCACACAACACAAUUUGUUCUAUAACAAUAUCCUGCGAUGUGUGGCACAACCCAGUAAACGGAUCCAACUCAGCAUAAUGCUACAUACUCUUUAAAUAAAAAAUAAUUUAUUAAACAAAUAAAAAACCCGACUGCAUAAAUUAUACAAAAACUGAAAAUAAAAAAAACAAGCCGAGUCCAGAAGUGUAGAGAGCAAUUAGAAAACAGUCGGGACCUAUUUUAUUGAAUUUAAUGAUUUUCGUCUAUAUUUUUUUAUAGGUCCCGACGGCCGAACUGCAUAACUAUUUUUUUUAACUAAAAACAAAAAUUAUGUUUUCAAACAAAGUAAUUCCAACUAUCAAUGUAACACAAACGGGGAACUAAACAUUGGAUUGAGAUCGAUAAUCCACGCAUUAUUUCCACGGACCGCCACUAUAUACCCCGAGUAGUUCGAGAAGCCAUUGAAAUUCGAAAAUACAAAAAUUUCAAUCGGGAAGAUGGUUUCAAACUAGCCAGCGAGUGGAACCCGGUGGUAGAAUUGUGCAAACCAAGAGGGCGCCGCGAUACGCAUAAUAACAAAAGCGAUGUCGUGAGUGUGGUUUGCCUAAACAGCCAAAAACGCGAGGUCGUUGAAAAAAGAAAAAGAACAAGGAAGAGGGUAGAUCGAUUCUGCCCCUAACAGCUGACUUCACUUCUCAUCUCGCAACUUCAGUCCCGUCGUGACCACGAUCCAUGCAACUGGGUCGAAAUAUCGACAAUAAAAAUCUCGUCGUUUUAUCGUGUUGCACAACUAUCAGCAGAGCAUAUGGCAACUUGCGUCAUUCGCCCACCGGUGGUCAUGUAGGCUGAGAGCUAGCCAACAAAACUUCAAUCGUCACGAACAUGUAAACUGCACAAGUGAGCAAUUUCACAGAGUUUGUGACCAGAAAAAGCAAUGGAGAAGGCAAACGGUUAAUUGCUGAAUCGAUCUUGAUGAAACUUAGUACAGAAAAUUACUACUAUUAGGAGUGCAAUUGGAAAAAUCAAAAAUUUUCCUCCCGGUAAGGGAAGUGUUCCCAAAAUAUUAAUUAUAUUACUGCAUGGAGCUAGAUUUCAUAAUAAACGUACAAAAGUAUAUUUUUGGCCCAUUUUAACGUACCAUCAUCAUCAGUAAUAACCCUUAUUUGGCUCACUGUUGAGCACGAGACUUCUUUCAGAAUGAGAGGGGUUAAUCCACCACGCUGGGUCAAUGCGGAUUUCAAAUACGUAGAGAAUUGAGAAAAUUCUCAGGUAUGCAGGUUGCUUGAGACACGUGAUAUUUAAUUUCUUAAAAUGCACAUAACUAAGUUUGAGGUUCAUGCCCUGGACCGCAUUCGAACCUACGCCCACCAAAUCGAAGGCAGAGGUCAUAUCCACUGAGCUAUCACGGCUCUAUUUAACGUAUAUCCUUUUAUAAUAGAGUUUUCAAAUUACCCACCACGUUGCCUAAAUGCGGGUUGGCGAGCUAUUUGUGUUCGU